UACGGAGGGUGCAAGCGUUGUUCGGAAUUAUUGGGCGUAAAGCGCAUGUAGGCGGUCUGUUAAGUCUGGUGUGAAAGCCCGGGGCUCAACCCCGGAAGUGCAUUGGAUACUGGCAGACUUGAGUAUGGGAGAGGAAAGUGGAAUUCCGAGUGUAGGAGUGAAAUCCGUAGAUAUUCGGAGGAACACCAGUGGCGAAGGCGGCUUUCUGGACCAAUACUGACGCUGAGAUGCGAAAGCGUGGGGAGCAAACAGG
rnacentral:rRNA from 1 species